AAUGUUCGCUUUAGCAUCAUAAAUUCAAAUAAGAAUGAAACAGAGAAGGUUAGUAUGGCCCCUGCACAAGGAUGACAUGCAAAUUCAUGAAGUGGUCCAUAUUAAA